rnacentral:rRNA from 1 species
UACGGGGGGGGGCAAGCGUUGUUCGGAAUUACUGGGCGUAAAGGGCUCGUAGGCGGCCAACUAAGUCGGAUGUGAAAUCCCCAGGCUCAACCUGGGAACUGCAUCCGAUACUGGAUGGCUUGAAUUCGGGAGAGGGAUGCAGAAUUCCAGGUGUAGCGGUGAAAUGCGUAGAUAUCUGGGAGGAACACCGGUGGCGAAGGCGGCAUCCUGGACCGACACUGACACUGAGGAGCGAAAGCCAGGGGAGCAAACGGG